UUGGGCAGACAGCCCCCCUGCCUUUCUCAUCCCUUUUCCUAUAACCCGUUGUCUACCAGUGGGAAAAUGUAUAAGCCCAGCUGUUCGAGAAGUGAGAAAGGGAGAGACAAGAGGGGAAAUUAGAUGAGGUUGAUGCAACUUGCACAAAGAAUACUUCAAGCUAUGCUUUUUUUGUAAUCCAGAAAAGCCGGAACCAACCCAAGUCUCCAACAAUCAGGAACUAGCUAAACAAACUUUAGCAUAUGAAAAAAUGGAAUCUUACAUCACCGUGACUGAUGCUACGUGCAAAACAGUGUGGAUAAUGGCUACAUGUGGAUCUGGGGACUACAUCAAACUGUUUAAUGUCAAACAGGCAAACAGACCACGGCCCAGGGGCCAGGCGUGCUGGGAGUGAGCUCCCCAAGGAGCAGCGUGGUGACAGAGGGCUCUCCUGAGUGCUUCCAUGGCCUCAUUAGCACCUCACUCACUGCUGGGGACCAGAGCACGAAGAUGAAAAGCAUCUUUACAGAGGUAAUUGUACCUGUGGGGAAAAGAUAGUUUUGGUUUGAAUUUAUUUUUUCCUUCCCAAGACAUAAAAGCAUUUUACUUUUCUUAAUCUUUCCAAAUGUAUGAUAUCAAGUCUACCUUCUCCAAUGGGUAGUAGAUCUCUUAAUGGCAUCUUCAGCAGAUCCAUAAUUUUCCAGUUGUUUUCAGAUACUAAGUCUCAGUGCCAUUUAAAAUAUCAAUUCCAAACUUGACUCUAUUCUCACUUCCUCCCCCUUCUCACCCUCUGCACUGUAAG
rnacentral:lncRNA from 1 species